rnacentral:rRNA from 1 species
UACGUAGGAGGCAAGCGUUGUCCGGAAUUACUGGGUGUAAAGCGCGUGUAGGUGGUGGGCCAAGUCUGUGGUGAAAUCGCCCGGCUCAACUGGGCGAGGUCCGUGGAAACUGGUCGACUGGAGGACGGUAGAGGCGAGUGGAAUUCCCGGUGUAGUGGUGAAAUGCAUAGAGAUCGGGAGGAACACCAGUGGCGAAGGCGGCUCGCUGGGCCGGUCCUGACACUGAGACGCGAAGGCGUGGGGAGCGAACGGG